rnacentral:lncRNA from 10 species
ACCAAUCCCCUGAGCCCUAUGCAAACCAGACACUGCCUUCUCCAGCUUCCGGAUAUAAUGGACUGCCUUUCCGCUGCACACAGGGUUCCUCUUUGUUCUGAGCCCCUGUCCCUCUGUCUCUGUUUUCUUCUGUCUUUCUUCUUUCUUGCCUGUUAAACUUUUUACUUCUUAACGACCACUCCACAUGUGUCUGUGUCAUUACUCCUAAUGGCACAAAACUAAGGACUCUGGUGUUCCUGCAGUCAUGGAAGCUGCAUCACUAUUAGAAGUUGAUAUGGGAAAUGAAGUACCUCUGACUCCUUGAAAUAAAUUACAACCCUAGAGACUUUAGAAGACUGUCUAGGUUCCAGUUUUGUUAACCAGAAAAUAAGAAUGGCUUUGCCCACUAAUCAACAUCUCUUGACAAGGCACGGAGAUCACUAUCUUUCAUAAAGCAAUGAAGAAUGGACAGGGAGAACUGCUGGCUGAAAAUAUGAGAAGCCAGCACAUCCUGAAAGAAAUACCCUAGAUCCGCUUAAUGGGAAACGAAGCAGCUGGAACCCUAAACAGAACUGUGAUUUCAUUUGUCCAUCUCCUGAUGAAGAUGAGUUUCAAGAGGAGACUCACUAUUCUAAGCUAACCAUUUUAAGUCCAUUCUCAUUUUGUGACAAUAAUUUAGGAGCACCAUAAAUAUAAACCACCUGUAGCCAAUGAGACAUAAGCAAGAUCAUCCGAAAUGAACUUCUGGAAAAUUUUCCUCAAUCUCAGAAGGAGAUUUAUUCCCUCCCCCUCACCAGAAUUUCCAAGGGUUUAUACCUUAAUGAAACUGUCACAAGUCCCCAAGGGGAGCCAACUUCUACUUCUAAUGGGGAGGAAUGCUUGCAUCUAUAGGUUCCAUUAGGUGCCUGCUGUGUGUCAAAUAUUUUCCUAUGCAUUUCACAUGCAUUUUUAGCACUUAACCUCCAUAUCCUCAGGACUAUCUCUAGAAACAUAGAUGCUUAAGAAAAUUAUCUUUUACACAGAGCUUGCUAAACAGAGGGUGGAAAUCAGACAGCUUGAACUUAAGAAUAGAGUAAAAAUGGAUAUUAAGAUACUUGAAAUAUUGAUUAGGAAUAUGUAUUGUGUCAAAUUCUGGGGUAAAAGAGAAAUAUAAGUUGAAAUUUUCAACUUUUUUUCUAUUUUUAAAACUGGAAUUAAUAAUCUGGG